AUCCUCUCAGGGUCGCACCUGGAGAGUUUCCGGUACUCUACCAAUCUCGACUACGGGACGGAGAGUGAAGCAGAGGCCUAUCCAUUCCAUUCCUAGCUUGGCCAGUGGCUGGAGAGUGGAAGGCAACCUGCUACAAGU